rnacentral:rRNA from 1 species
AGUCGAACGGCAGCACGGGGGCAACCCUGGUGGCGAGUGGCGAACGGGUGAGUAAUGCAUCGGAACGUGUCUUUAAGUGGGGGAUAACGCAUCGAAAGGUGUGCUAAUACCGCAUAAUCUCUGAGGAGAAAAGCAGGGGAUCGUAAGACCUUGCGCUUUUAGAGCGGCCGAUGUCUGAUUAGCUAGUUGGUGAGGUAAAGGCUCACCAAGGCUCCGAUCAGUAGCUGGUCUGAGAGGACGACCAGCCACACUGGGACUGAGACACGGCCCAGACUCCUACGGGAGGCAGCAGUGGGGAAUUUUGGACAAUGGGGGCAACCCUGAUCCAGCCAUGCCGCGUGAGUGAAGAAGGCCUUCGGGUUGUAAAGCUCUUUCAGCCGGAAAGAAAUCGUACAGACUAAUACUCUGUAUGGAUGACGGUACCGGAAGAAGAAGCACCGGCUAACUACGUGCCAGCAGCCGCGGUAAUACGUAGGGUGCGAGCGUUAAUCGGAAUUACUGGGCGUAAAGCGUGCGCAGGCGGUUUUGUAAGUCAGAUGUGAAAUCCCCGGGCUUAACCUGGGAACUGCGUUUGAAACUACAAGGCUAGAGUGUAGCAGAGGGGGGUGGAAUUCCACGUGUAGCAGUGAAAUGCGUAGAGAUGUGGAGGAACACCGAUGGCGAAGGCAGCCCCCUGGGUUAACACUGACGCUCAGGCACGAAAGCGUGGGGAGCAAACAGGAUUAGAUACCCUGGUAGUCCACGCCCUAAACUAUGUCAACUAGUUGUCGGGCCUUAACGGGCUUGGUAACGCAGCUAACGCGUGAAGUUGACCGCCUGGGGAGUACGGUCGCAAGAUUAAAACUCAAAGGAAUUGACGGGGACCCGCACAAGCGGUGGAUUAUGUGGAUUAAUUCGAUGCAACGCGAAAAACCUUACCUACCC